AGUAGAGAUGGGGUUUCACCAUGUUGGUCAGGCUAGUCUUGAACUCCUGACCUCAGGCAAUCCACCCACC
rnacentral:miRNA from 1 species